rnacentral:lncRNA from 1 species
ACAAUAAUCAAGAGACUACUUGUUCAUAAGAAGAAUAGGCUGCAAAUGUAACUUCUAUUGUCUUAUCUUUUCAUUUUUUCAUAAUGCAAAUAUGACCAAUUAAAAAUGAAUUUUGUGACAGGCUCUGUUAGUCUGUUCCUCCCUUAUUUGAAGGACAGGCCAAAGAUCCAGUUUGGAAAUGAGAGAGGACUAGCAUGACACAUUGGCUCCACCAUUGAUAUCUCCCAGAGGUACAGAAACAGGAUUCAUGAAGAUGUUGACAAGACUGCAAGUUCUUACCUUAGCUUUGUUUUCAAAGGGAUUUUUACUCUCUUUAGGGGACCAUAACUUUCUAAGGAGAGAGAUUAAAAUAGAAGGUGACCUUGUUUUAGGGGGCCUGUUUCCUAUUAACGAAAAAGGCACUGGAACUGAAGAAUGUGGGCGAAUCAAUGAAGACCGAGGGAUUCAACGCCUGGAAGCCAUGUUGUUUGCUAUUGAUGAAAUCAACAAAG